AGUAGGGUGGGUAGGGAAUAUAUUUUGCAAUCUGAAAAACUUGUUUUUCUUUCUCUCUUCCUUGUAUUGAAUGAGCUCCAAGAAUAACUUCGCUUCUUUUCCUAAGAAGAAAGACAAUAUGGUUAAYAGGAGUCACUUGCUGCAAGUUUGUAAUUCCUUGCUGUUGAAUAUGGUACUAUAAGAACCAGAYGCUACAGGACCUCCUGCCUUAUGCCUGAAAAGCAAAAGAGCACAGACAAGGCUCAAGCGCUUGGCUCUGAACUGACCCCUUUGGGAACCGAGUGGAAAGCAGCUGCCCCCUCUUUGCUGGUGGUGGUGAUCUCAGAAGGGAUGUCCCUCUGCCAUUUAUCCUGGAAGCCCAGG